CCUACGGGCGGCAGCCGUGAGGAAUAUUGGUCAAUGGCCGGAAGGCUGAACCAGCCAUGCCGCGUGAAGGUCAGUGCCCUAUGGGCGUUAAACUUCUUUUGUGCGGGAGCAAUAAUGGUCACGUGUGGCCAGACGAGGGUACCGUACGAAUAAGCCUCGGCUAACUCCGUGCCAGCAGCCGCGGUAAUACGGGGGAUGCAAGCGUUAUCCGGAUUUAUUGGGUUUAAAGGGUGCGUAGGCUGUGAGGUAAGUCAGCGGGGAAAUGCCCCCGGCCAACGGGGUGAAGUGCCAUUGAUACUGCCUUGCUGGAAUGCGGAUGCCGUGGGAGGAAUGGGUGGUGUAGCGGUGAAAUGCAUAGAUAUCACACAGAACACCGAUUGCGAAGGCAUCUCACGAAUCCGCGAUUGACGCUGAUGCACGAAAGCGUGGGUAUCAAACAGGAUUAGAUACCCCUGUAGUC
rnacentral:rRNA from 1 species